AUUGAACGCUGGCGGCAUGCCUUACACAUGCAAGUCGAACGGUAACGGGCCUUCGGGUGCCGACGAGUGGCGAACGGGUGAGUAAUGUAUCGGAACGUACCUUUCAGUGGGGGAUAACGUAGCGAAAGUUACGCUAAUACCGCAUAUUCUGUGAGCAGGAAAGCAGGGGAUCGCAAGACCUUGCGCUGAUUGAGCGGCCGAUGUCAGAUUAGCUAGUUGGUGAGGUAAAGGCUCACCAAGGCGACGAUCUGUAGCGGGUCUGAGAGGAUGAUCCGCCACACUGGAACGGAGACACGGUCCAGACUCCUACGGGAGGCAGCAGUGGGGAAUUUUGGACAAUGGGGGCAACCCUGAUCCAGCCAUGCCGCGUGAGUGAAGAAGGCCUUUGGGUUGUAAAGCUCUUUCGGUCGGGAAGAAAUCGCAUGGGUUAAUACCCUGUGCGGAUGACGGUACCGGCAUAAGAAGCACCGGCUAACUACGUGCCAGCCGCCGCAGUAAGAC
rnacentral:rRNA from 1 species